GACGAACGCUGGCGGCGUGCCUAAUACAUGCAAGUUGAGCGAUGAAGAUUGGUGCUUGCACCAAUUUGAAGAGCAGCGAACGGGUGAGUAACGCGUGGGGAAUCUGCCUUUGAGCGGGGGACAACAUUUGGAAACGAAUGCUAAUACCGCAUAAUAACUUUAAACAUAAGUUUUAAGUUUGAAAGAUGCAAUUGCAUCACUCAAAGAUGAUCCCGCGUUGUAUUAGCUAGUUGGUGAGGUAAAGGCUCACCAAGGCGAUGAUACAUAGCCGACCUGAGAGGGUGAUCGGCCACAAUGGGAAUGAGACCAGGCCCAAACUCCUACGGGAGGCAGCAGUAGGGAAUCUUCGGCAAUGGACGAAAGUCUGACCGAGCAACGCCGCGUGAGGGAAGAAGGGUUUCGGAUCGUAAAACUCUGUUGGUAGAGAAGAACGUUGGUGAGAGUGGAAAGCUCAUCAAGUGACGGUAACUACCCAGAAAGGGACGGCUAACUACGUG
rnacentral:rRNA from 1 species